GAGUUUAUUCCCUGUUCUCUUGCCGGCAGGAUGUGGAAUUCGUGUUUGGCGUCCUAGGCAUCCCGGUGACCACGGACAUCCCCCUUGCAUCCCAGGAGCUGGACAUCAGGUAUGUCGGGAUGAGGAAUUAGCAAGUGGUAAGGACUCUGGUAACCGAAUGCAUUAUGGGAAUGAUAGAUAAUAGUAGCACCUGUUCAUUGCAAACACUCAGUGUUUACCAUUUCUCUAGUGCUUUCCAAAUGCAUGGUAGGCCAGUUCUCUCCCGCUGAGCUAUACCCUUACUUCUAACUUUUAGUCUUCCUAGUUGGGAGAACCUUCUGUUCUUUUAUCGAGAGAAGAUGAAGUGAUUGAUCUAUUAAUACGAGCUAUAUUUUACUGUUUUUCUGGAAGUGAGUUUACCUGCCACUGCUGUCUUCAUACAGAAAACAUUUAUUGAAUGUGUACUAUGUUUUGGAUACUGUGCUCCAUAACUGGUGGAAGAGAGAAAUAUAAAGAAGGAAUGAGGUGUAGUUUUGACCUUCAAUUUGAUCGANGGGAUGCCAAAUGACCCUCCCCUUAGUUUAUGGUGGUUGAUAACAUGUCAGGAAACCAUGUAAUUCAGCAGUACUCCCCUCGUGGCUUAAACCAAUCAGUUGGAAAGAAUCCCCCUCUUGUACUAACCAAUUACCCCUGACGAACUUGUUUGUGCCAGUGAAUGUGCUAAUCAAUGUUAAGAGUUGUUGUUUGAUUUUCCCGUGGUGUUUUGUAUUUUGUUUAGAGAUGCUAUGAUGUAUGUAAAGUCCCUGCCUUCCCCCAAAGAGUGUAUAAAACUGCUGCAAACCCUGGGCUUGGGGGCCUCUCAGUGUCACCAGUUGCUGUGUGCGCAGAGGACAGAGCUGGGUCUCACUGAGUGCCUUUUUUUUGCUUACGUUGUCUUUGACUUUGGUGUUCUUUUGGUGGUCUUUUGGGGGUCCCGAACUUCAGCCUAUCAAGACUGGUUGUAGGUAGGGACUUGCCUAAAAAUUGUGAAAAGCUGCAUUUUCUGAAUUGGAAACAUAGUAUUGGAGAGUAAUGAGUCAGCAGCAAGGGUUGAAUUUCUCCUAUCCCAAGGGCCAAAGAGUGGGUAGCGGACAAGAGUAGAGUCUGAAGAGUAGAGUCAGGGCCUCAGGGCUUUGGGCUACUUUCUCUCCUCAUGGAAUCCCAGCGUCACCUACGAAACUGGGAUAGAGUAUAUUUCUGCUUGCGGAUUUAAGUAACGUGAAUUACUAUGAUUUAUGGAGUGCAAAGGCACAAGCUAUGAAGCCAGAGGAUUUAGCAGCAAGACAACACGACCCACAGACCACUUCUCUGUUAGACGUGCUCCAGCCACUUGAGUUCCCGCAAGCUCUGCGCAGGCCUCAAACCCCUAGAACAGCCCAGGUGGGUCCGGGAGCGGGCUUGCGCCACGCCCCCUUCUCGGGGAAGCCGGGCCCUCCUUCCGCCCCACGUGCGCUUGCGCUACCGGUGCAGAAGCGUGUCAGGACAGUGGAGCGGGGUGUAGGCGAGAAGCUUCCGAGUUACGGCUUCUUACCUUCUCAGGAUAGGCCGAGGUCUCCUAGUAGUCUUGCCUCCUUCUCACACCCUUACGCCGGGAAGAGGGCGGUUCAUAUCACACCUCGCCGGGAGCAGACUGGUUUAGACCCGCCUUUUCCGUCCCGUUAUAUAAAGCGGUUGGCUACCCUGCUGUCAGUCAGAGGCAGCAAGAGCGGCCUGAGAAAGGCUCUGGGUUUGUUUUGCUGGGCGACUUUAUGUCAGCUUGGCUGUCAGCUGCGAGAGUGCUUUGAACUUUUAGGUGGAAAAUGCCGGAAAGUAACUCCACAGAGUGGAGCGACAUUAGCGCGGUGCAGGUGGCCGCCGGGUACCCAAGCGUUGUCUUGGAGACAGGAGAUCGUGGGGGCGGUGUGGGUGGAGGCUUACAGAGGUUUCCUUUUGGCGUCCCCUAGGUAGGGGAGGAUGCGGCGAAGUGGGUGGGACCGGGAGUUUAUUCCCUGUUCUCUUGCCGGCAGGAUGUGGAAUUCGUGUUUGGCGUCCUAGGCAUCCCGGUGACCACGGACAUCCCCCUUGCAUCCCAGGAGCUGGACAUCAGGUAUGUCGGGAUGAGGAAUUAGCAAGUGGUAAGGACUCUGGUAACCGAAUGCAUUAUGGGAAUGAUAGAUAAUAGUAGCACCUGUUCAUUGCAAACACUCAGUGUUUACCAUUUCUCUAGUGCUUUCCAAAUGCAUGGUAGGCCAGUUCUCUCCCGCUGAGCUAUACCCUUACUUCUAACUUUUAGUCUUCCUAGUUGGGAGAACCUUCUGUUCUUUUAUCGAGAGAAGAUGAAGUGAUUGAUCUAUUAAUACGAGCUAUAUUUUACUGUUUUUCUGGAAGUGAGUUUACCUGCCACUGCUGUCUUCAUACAGAAAACAUUUAUUGAAUGUGUACUAUGUUUUGGAUACUGUGCUCCAUAACUGGUGGAAGAGAGAAAUAUAAAGAAGGAAUGAGGUGUAGUUUUGACCUUCAAUUUGAUCGAAUUCUGAGAAGAUAAAGGCAAGAUAUGCAGAAAAAAACAAGAUAUACUUAAAUAGGAAAUGUAGUAGUACAGAAUGGGUGACUGGUUCUCUUUGGGAUUUGCUUGACUAUGUGGACCAUAGUGCCGCUGACUGAGACUGGGAAAUAUACAGGGAAGAGCCAAUUUGGAAGGGAAAGGUUAUGAAUUCAAUUUGAAAUGUGAGUUUGAGAUGCAUGUGGGACAUCCAGCACAUAUGCCCAUUGGGCAACCAAGACUUAGUGCCUGAAUUAAAGGAAAUGACAGGAUGAUUCAGAAGGAAUAUGACAACAGGAUCAGAAGACAUUCAAGAGUAUGUUUGUGUUAAAGAGAAGGGUGUAGUUCGGUAUGAUUUGAUUGUCUUUCAUCAGAUUCUUGGAGUAAUCAAGACAUAAUGAUCAUAUUUGGCUAGCAAGUAGGCAGACUGUUGUAAAGUCAACUGUUACUGAGUUUACUGUGUUCAGACACUAUUCUGAGUGUUUUACAUGUAUUAACUGAUUUCGUCUUCACAACAAUGCUCUGAAUUAUGUUCACUUUAUAGAUGAGAAAGCCAAUGUACAAGUAAGUUGCCAAAAUUACACAGUAGAACCCCAUAAAGUGGCACACACCUAUAACCCCCAAGCUACUCUGGAGACUAAGGCAGGAGGCUUGCAAGUUUAAGGGCAGCCUUGGCAAUUUAGUGAUCCCCUGUCUCAAAAAGGAAAAGGUUGUAGCUCAGGGAUAAAGCACUCCUGGGUUCAAUCCCCAUUACCAAGAGAAAAAAAAGAGAGAAAGGUUUAAACACAAGUUAGGUAUGGUGGUACAUGCCUAUAAUCCAGCUACUUGGGAAAUGGAAGCAAAUGAUUGCCAUUGGAGGCCAUCCUAGGCAAUUUAGGAAUAUCCUGUCUCAAUUUUUUUUUUUAAAGCUGGUGAUGUAGCUCAGUGUAGAGCACUUGUCUGGCAUGCUUAAGACCCUGGGUUUCAUCUUCAGCAGCACAAAAAGAAAAGAAAGAGAAUAUUCAAGCAUAAAGAUGUACGGUGCAGUGCUCUUAAUACCAAAAAUUAUCCAGCAAUUGAGAAGAAUAUUUAAUUGUGGUAUAUGUGUAAAAAAAAUGUAGCCUUUAAAAAUUUUAAGAACUAUUGACAAAGUAAAACAUUUAUAAUAAGUAAAAGUAUAUGAGCCAGUAUUAUAUAAACUCAUUUAUAGAAAAAAAAUUUGCAUAUCAAAAAAGACUGUAUGAAAAGAGCCCGGGGCACUAAUAAUAGCUUACAAGUUGACAUUAUUAUGGGGUUAUUUUGGAGUUUUCUUUAUACUUUCACUAUUUUUUUCCACAUUAUCUAAAGUGAAGGUGUUAGAAACAUAAUAAACAAAUGAAAUAAAAUUUACAGUUUCUGUCCUAAGAGAAACACUACCUAUGUGGCGGCUCACAACCCUGUUUGCCCUAUGUGGUUUGGCCCCAUCCCUUUUGAUGUUUAAUGAGUUAUCUGCAAUUGCUAUUUUCUCCCCACCUACCAUAUUUAUUCUACUUAGUUCAUCUUGUACAUUAGCAUUUACACAGAGUAGGAUUUUUAUUACUUUAGUUUAAAAGAUCAGAUUUACCCUUUAAGCUAAUUUGUAAGCUUAAAGUAUAAAUAAGCUCCAAACUAUUUAGACUUCAGAGAUACUUGCAGAAUAAUUUAACUAAGAAAUACAAAUAUGCUUUUUUGUGUUAUAUCAGAUUUUUUUAAAUGGGCCUCUGCAAUUGGAGAGACUAAGUUGGAUUUUACAUUUGGGCUGCCUCCAACAUAACAGCCAUGUAUUAAGUUUACACAGAUACUCAGAAGAGAUUUCAAAUGAGAGCUAUUUGUGGUUCAUUGUUCUCCUUCUCAGCCAUUAUCAGCUCUGCUUUCUUCUUGGCUUUUUGUAAGGAACCUUUUCUAUUUUUACAAAAGUAGAUUUUAUAAAUUUUCUAACAUAAUUACUGGUACCAAAGUAAGCUGCCUUUUCAAACCUAGAAAAUGUAGUGUUACACUUCUGACCAGAAAACCUUUCAAAAUCAAGUUUCAAAUAGUUUGAAAAGCACAGUUUGCCUCUUCUUCAUGUUUAGAUAUAUUUAAGGUAGAGAAAAGAAUUUUAAGUAGGAUUAUAGAUUAAAAUGAAACAUUCAGCAUUCUCCUCUUUUUUUUGAGAGAGAGACAGAGAGAGAGAGAGAGAGAGAGAGAGAAUUUUUAAUAUUUAUUUUUUUUAGUUUUCGGCGGACACAACAUCUUUGUUUGUAUGUGGUGCUGAGGAUCAAACCUGGGCCGCUCGCAUGCCAGGGGAGCGUGCUACCGUUUGAGCCACAUCCCCAGCCCCAGCAUUCUCCUCUUGAUGACCAAGGUCUUGAACCUAAGACCUGUACCAUGCAUCACCUCUAGGGAAGCUAAAUUAUUCCUUUUUGCAAAAUCCAUUUUCAUUUAUCCAAGGCCAUCCAGAAAUGGAACUUAUGAGCAAAUGGAAUAAUCAUGCCAUAUUCUAAGAGUGGUUCUCAGAAUGUGGUCCCUAAGCUACCAGCAUCAGCAUCACCUAGGAAACUUGUUAGAAAUGCACAUUUCUGGACCCCAUUCCAGAAUUAAUGAAAUCAGAAACUAAGGUGGACUCCUGCAAUGUAUGGUUUAAUAAGCCCACUAGGUAGUACAAGCUCAAAUUUGAGAGCCCCUGCUCUAGGUAGGAAUCCUUAAUGAUGUAAUUCAGUAGAAUUUUUUCUUUCUUUCUUUUUUCUUCUUUUUUUUCUUUUUGGUAACAGGGAUUGAACUCAGGGGCACUUGACCACUGAGCCACAUCCCCAGCCCUGUUUUGUAUUUUAUUUAGAGACAGGUCUCACUGAGUUGCUAAGCACCUUGCUAAGUUGCUGAGUCUGGCUUUGAACUUGAGAUCCUCCUGCCUCAACUCCUGAGCCACUGGUAUUACAGGUGUACGCCACCAAACCUGGCUCAGUAGAGGUUAGAUUCAAAACUGUAAUUGAUCAGCUCAAAUGGGACAAUACCAGAAUUCCAUAGAGUAGAUUUUAAAAUGAGGGAAGAUGAUGAGGUUCUCUAUACUAUGAUACUUGAAUAGAUCUAAGGAUUUUUACUUUUUUUUUUUUUUGAAAGUACUAGGGAUUGAACCAGGGCCUGAAGCAUGCUAGGCCAGUACUCUACCACUGAGGAGCUACAUUCCCAGCCCUUUUUAUUUUACUUUACUUCACUUCUUGAGUAUCACAUCUUCUUUAUUAAAUUUUACAUAUAACACAGUCUAUUUAUUCAGCCUUUAUUGACUUCUUGGUGUUUUUUAGUUUGGUUUUUGAUUUUUUGGUGGUACUGGGGAUUGAACCCAAGACCUCAUACAUGCUAGACAAGUUCUCUUCCACUGAGUUAUGUUCUCAACUCCUUAAUUGACUUGUUAAAUAUUUUAAGAAUAAACAUGACUUGUUCUUCAGCUUUUUCUCCUUUUUAAGUUGACAUCUGUGCAGAAGAAUUGGAAAAUAAUGGUCUUCUUCUGGUGCUGUGACUUUGCUAGGAGACGUAGAUGCUGUUACUAAACAGGUAGGAACUUUUGCCUAGGUUUUUAGUUUGUGUGAACUGGUCUUUUAAGGAAUGGUUCUUGAAAUAUUAGUGUCUAUUUUAAACCAAAUUUGAAAAGGGAAACUAUUCUAAAAUAUAACUUUCGAACUUGGUCUUUUUAUACUUAGCUCGUAUUUCUGUAAAUUAAGCAUUUUUGGAAGGCAUUUGAAAAUUUAAAGUCAUUCAGAAUGCAAAUGGAUUUACUAAGUAGGAUACCACUGUCUGAAAAAUUAUAAUGCAACUUCCAAAAGGAGUUUUGGGUUACAGCCCAAAAAAUAGCUUUACAGGAUGGAAAUUUUUUUAGGUUUUUAUUUUAUUUUAUUUUUCUAAGUUAAUAAAGAGCUUUUACUCUCCC
rnacentral:lncRNA from 1 species